ensembl:lncRNA
AGGGCUGUAUAGCAUUGGCUGCUGGUGGUGAAUCUUAUUUCUUGUUUUAGAAUAAAGAGCCCUUUAGUUGACACUGAUAACUAAAUAGGCACCACAUGAUUUCCCCUUUAAACAGAACUUUUUAUCUGAUUCUUUAGCACAGACACGGAACCAUAUAUUUGAAAGAGAUGGAGGGAUAUGUUCUGGUCUUCUGUGUGUACGUUCUGUUCAGAAGAUUCUGAGAGCUCAGAAUAUCAUCAGAGCCAGAGGGAGACAUAAAAGAAAUAUACUGGAGACAGGAGAAUGAGACAUGCCGCAGAAGAAACAGUGUGGCUGCCCUUGAAUGCCUGGUGAUGGCAUAUUGUGCUUUGCUGUCAGUCUGUUGACUCAUGUACACUUCAAAAGAGCUCUCAGGAGAGGCAGUUAUGCGAGUCACUGCCUGAUGCACUGUAAAUCAUGGCUGUGCUUUUUUUGUUAUUUGAAUGGGCCUCGAGUGAGCCUAAUGCUGUUUUGAAAGAUCAUCUAAUGUCAUUGGAACUCAGGGAUUUCAAUGAAUGUGGGGCAGAGGAUGAGGGAAUACUCGCCCUCAUGGACAAGAUUAGUCAGAGCUACUUCAGGAUUGUCUGGUCAUCUCUUCUUUAGUAUCAUGUGCUGCAGGUCAAAGCGAAUAAAGCGGUAAGAAUCAGGAGCUUCAUGGAGGUUAUGCUGAACAGAGGUGUAUCCAAAAUCUUAGUGUGCUCUCGCCUCCAUGUCCUCUCUCUUGAAGCUGUACCCCUGAGAUUUGAUGAAAAAGCAGGACAAGAGCUUUAGAGAGUUGGUGCAGGGAUUGGUACUGUCAGAUGCUUUUUUGUCAUCGCCUUUCCUCUUAAGAACAAACAAAUGCUUCCCCUCUAAGGAGUAAGGCAGUAAAGGGAUACCAGGUGGCACUGAAUAAACUGUGAAAUGCUGCAGUCAGAAUGCUGCAGUAGAACCACAUCAGGAAUUUUAGUCCAGAUUCCUAAGGAAAGAACUUUUUACACUGUGUUGCUUUCGUCUGAUGGUCUGCAGGAUAUCUCCAUAAUUUUAAAAGUAGGCCAGCUUCAGAUAAACUUUGCAGAAUGGAAGAGGCUUGUUGUUCUUAAUGAAGAUGAUUGAGGGGGUCAAGGUGAAUCUUCCCACAGAAGGAAAGGUUUAGAUUGGAGUUCAGGUGUGUUCUUAGUGACAAACCAACAAGGGGGAAAUUUUGAAUGCCCUGUGUACAAGAAAAACUUUGAACAAAGUUUGCAUUCUAGUUGAAAUGGGAUGGUAAAAACAUGAGAUGCAAAGCUAUAGGUAACUCUGAAAAGCAUUUUACUUUCUCUGUUUGUAAAGUUGAAAUUGUGCUGCUUACAGUUACAAACUGGAAAUUCAAAGCACAGAACCAACUAUGUAAAGACUUGCAGAACCAUAUUAAACCACAAUAUCGAAGACAAAGAUUAUUUCUGAACCUCUGAUGCUGUCAAUUCAGGAGUUCCCAGGGCUAUCUGGUUUGCCUUUUGCUUUGCUGCUGAGAAUGGAAGAAAUCACAUCUCUUGAGACUGCUGCGGGGAUUGUUUUGAGCUAUUUUAAAAUUCACAGGAGAUAGUUAAGAAAUUCACUUUCUUAUGUUGCUUUACAAAACCUAGGAGUAUUAUUUUAGAUGUCCUUCAGUGAUACUGUGAUUUCCAUAUACUUUAAGAAUAG